GUAGGGAAUAUUGCGCAAUGGGGGAAACCCUGACGCAGCAACGCCGCGUGAGUGAGGAAGGUCUUCGGAUUGUAAAACUCUGUUCUUAGAGAAAAAUGACUUAGGGGCUAAUAUCCCCUAGGAGUGAUGGUAUCUAAGGAGAAAGGACCGGCUAACUUCGUGCCAGCAGCCGCGGUAAUACGAAGGGUCCAAGCGUUGUUCGGAUUUAUUGGGCGUAAAGCGCGCGCAGGCGGAUCAGUAAGUCAGGUGUGAAAUCUCGAAGCUCAACUUCGAAACUGCGCCUGAAACUACUAGUCUAGAAUAUCAGAGGGGGUAGGGGAAUUUCACGUGUAGGGGUAAAAUCCGUAGAGAUGUGAAGGAACACCGGAGGCGAAGGCGCCUACCUGGAUGAUUAUUGACGCUGAGGCGCGAAAGCGUGGGGAGCAAACAGGAUUAGAUACCCUAGUAGUCC
rnacentral:rRNA from 1 species